ACUGACUUGUGGCAAAGAGGAGCUUAACAAAUCCAAAUCCAUAUGGUUUUCUGGUGAGAUUUUUCUACGUCAAAUUUAAUGGUGCCACAUUUAUUCUUACAUUAUAACCUCGUGAAAUUUUUACUCAAAUUAUGUUCGAUUAUUUUUCUUUUCUAAACAAAGUAUUCCUAGUUAGGUAGAAUAAUUUACUAAACUUGGUCAAAUGAUAUAAUCGUUCACCUAAAGCAUCUUAUGGUGACAUAUAGGAACCGCUUAACUAAUGUUUUAUUAUUGAAGCUUUUUAAUUAGGAUGUAUGGAUAAAAAUCAAAGCAAAAACUUUGCGGCUAGUUUCUUUAUGGGUUUUAUGAUAAUAUAAUCCACAUAUCUUUACUUUUUCACCGGCCAAAAUUGAUUAGGUCAUCCACAUCCGUAUCUUGAUGUGAUCAUAUCGAAAAUCAAGAACGUGAAUCAUUUUACCACCAAAGGUGAUCGUGGAAUGUCUGCAAGAGUUUGAAAGCAAUAGUUUAUUACAAAGAGUUGAAGAGAAGAAUCCGAAGCAAGUCAGUGUGUUAUAUGUUGGAGUCCUUGUCCAUAGAGACAAUAACGCAUAGUGGUAAUCUCGAGAAGCGGUUUAAUUCUAAUGAUAACUCCAAAUAAGGUUCAGAUUUUGGAGUAGUGAUCAAAGAUAAAUAUAAGAGAACCACCAGCAGUGAAAGAGCAAUACGAUGGUUAGACUACAAAAUACCAAGAUCAAAUCUCAUCCAAGUCCAACAAUUUUACUUUGAGUGUAGACCUGGUUGCAGAGAGAAGCAUGUUUAGAAACAAAUCAAGGAAGAACUUUAUCAAUGUCGAGAAGCUUGUUUCCUUCACAUAGACAUUACUGAUCAAGUGAUCAUAGAGCAUUCAAUUUCAGUUUUACAAUCACACAUGAUAUCUUCUUUCCUCUACAUCAAACCUAAGAAAAGGACAAAAACUUUGUACUCGUUACCUCUCGGUGUCGGAGUUUCCGUCCCUCGACGUGUUACAAAAUCAACCUCAAAAUUUAUUCUGGAGUAACAACAUAACAAC
rnacentral:lncRNA from 1 species